UACGUAGGACCCAAGCGUUAUCCGGAGUGACUGGGCGUAAAGAGUUGCGUAGGUGGUUUGUUAAGUGAAUAGUGAAAUCUGGCGGCUCAACCGUACAGGCUAUUAUUCAAACUGGCAAACUCGAGAAUGGUAGAGGUAACUGGAAUUUCUUGUGUAGGAGUGAAAUCCGUAGAUAUAAGAAGGAACACCAAUGGCGUAGGCAGGUUACUGGACCAUUUCUGACACUGAGGCACGAAAGCGUGGGGAGCGAACCGG
rnacentral:rRNA from 1 species